rnacentral:rRNA from 1 species
UACAGAGGGUGCAAGCGUUGUUCGGAAUUACUGGGCGUAAAGCGCACGUAGGCGGAUUGUUAAGUGAGGGGUGAAAUCCCAGGGCUCAACCCUGGAACUGCCUUUCAUACUGGCAAUCUCGAGUCCGAGAGAGGUGAGUGGAAUUCCGAGUGUAGAGGUGAAAUUCGUAGAUAUUCGGAGGAACACCAGUGGCGAAGGCGGCUCACUGGCUCGGUACUGACGCUGAGGUGCGAAAGCGUGGGGAGCAAACAGGG